rnacentral:rRNA from 1 species
AUCUACGGUCAUGCCACACCGAAAGUGCCUGAUCUCGUCUGAUCUCGGAAGCUAAGCAGGGUCGGGCCUGGUUAGUACUUGGAUGGGAGACCACCUAGGAAUAUCAGGUGCCGUAGGCA